rnacentral:lncRNA from 1 species
GUUUGGUUGUUGAUAUGUUCUGCACCUCCAUGAUUGACGUAGCCUAUGAGCUCAAGGUUCCAUCUUAUCUGUUUUUCACUUCCGGGGCUGGUUUUCUAGGGCUUCUUCUCCACCUUCCCGGACGCUAUGACCGACUUGGCAUGGUGUUCAAACCAUCGGACCCUGAGUCGGUCGUGCCGAGUUAUGCCAACCCAGUUCCUGCAAAUGUUCUUCCUUCGUUUGCUUACGAGGACACCGGGUACAGUUGCUUUGCAAACCACGCUAGGAGGUUCAAGGAAACCAAGGGUAUAAUCGUCAACACGUUUUUUGAGCUGGAGUCCCAUGCGGUUAGCUCACUUUUGGAUUGUGAGACUGAGAUCCCUCCUGUUUACACGGUGGGACCCCUUAUUGGUGAGCAUCAUGUGAAACCGUCGGAUCGGGCCAAAUUUGGAAAGAUCAUGACGUGGCUUGAUGAUCAGCCUCCGAAAUCAGUGGUGUUCCUCUGCUUUGGGAGCUCUGGAAGUUUUGAUGAGGCCCAACUGAGAGAGAUUGCAGUUGGAUUAGAAAAGAGUGGUAAGAAAUUCUUGUGGUCCGUAAGGAAAGCCCCACCUAAGGGCCAGCUUGUAACGCCAGGUUAGUUUACAAUUUAUUAUCGAAAAAUAAUUUUCGCUUUUGACCUUUUAUGUAUCUUUAUUUAUUUUUUGAAUUAAUACUUGAAUCAAAAUAAAAUCAAGAAAUAUAUGUAGGAAUGUACAAAAAGUAACAAGAAUUUGUCGAACAUUACUUCUCUUACUCACGCAACUAAUUUAGUCAUUAUUUUUCACUUUGUUAGUCAAUUUGGUCUCUCCCCUCCAUGUUUAAAUUUUUAUGAACAUUCUAGGCUUAGAAAAUGUAAUGACAGGUGAGUACUCAAAUUAUGAGAAGUUUUUGCCUCAAGGAUUCUUGGAGAGGACCAAAGAUGUUGGUAUUUUGUGUGGUUGGGCCCCACAAGUGGAGGUCCUGGCCCACAAAGCGACCGGAGGGUUCGUGUCGCACUGUGGAUGGAACUCCAUAUCAGAGAGCUUGUGGCAUGGUGUGCCUAUUGUGACUUGGCCUCUGUAUGCAGAGCAGCAGAUUAAUGCCUUUCAGAUGGUGAAGGAUUUGGGGUUGGCCGUGGAGCUGAGAUUGGACUACAGAACAGACGGUGGUAAUCAUUUUGUGGUGGCAGAUGAGAUUGAGAAGGCUGUGAGGUGUGUGAUGGACGGUGAUGGUGCGGUGAGGAAGAGGGUUGAGGAGAUGAGUGAAGUGUGUAGGAAGGCUGUUGGCGAUGGUGGAUCUUCCUCUACUUCGUUUCAACAUUUGAUUAAGGUUAUGUUGGCACGCCUUGACAAUAAGGAGGAAU